AGAACGAACGCUGGCGGCAGGCCUAACACAUGCAAGUCGAGCGCGUGUAGCAAUACACGAGCGGCAGACGGGAGAGUAACACGUGGGAACGCGCCCUUCGGUUCGGAAUAACUCAGGGAAACUUGAGCUAAUACCGGAUACGCCCUUACGGGGAAAGAUUUAUUGCCGAAGGAACGGCCCGCGUCCGAUUAGCUAGUUGGUGAGGUAACGGCUCACCAAGGCGACGAUCGGUAGCUGGUCUGAGAGGAUGACCAGCCUCACUGGGACUGAGACACGGCCCAGACUCCUACGGGAGGCAGCAGUGGGGAAUAUUGGACAAUGGGCGCAAGCCUGAUCCAGCCAUGCCGCGUGGAUGAUGAAGGCCUUAGGGUUGUAAAGUCCUUUUAACGGGGAAGAUAAUGACGGUACCCGUAGAAUAAGCCCCGGCUAACUUCGCGCCAGCAGCCGC
rnacentral:rRNA from 1 species